rnacentral:rRNA from 1 species
UAAGGAGGGGACUAGCGUUGUUCGGAAUUACUGGGCGUAAAGCGCGCGUAGGCGGAUUUGUAAGUCGGGGGUGAAAUCCCGGGGCUCAACCUCGGAACUGCCUUCGAUACUGCAAAUCUCGAGUCCGGAAGAGGUGAGUGGAAUUCCUAGUGUAGAGGUGAAAUUCGUAGAUAUUAGGAAGAACACCAGUGGCGAAGGCGGCUCACUGGUCCGGUACUGACGCUGAGGCGCGAAAGCGUGGGGAGCAAACAGG